CACUGAUUAUCUUCAGGCUCCUGAGAACCCCGUAAGAAGUGACGCCCUCCUUCAACUAAAAG
rfam:Dipodomys ordii contig_4395, whole genome shotgun sequence.